CGGAGGGAUCAUUAAAGAGUUCUAUAACUCCCAAACCCAUGUGAACAUACCUAACGUUGCCUCGGCAGGUCGCACCUACCUUGUAGCACCCUACCCUGUAGGGCCUACCCGGGAGGUGCGGGUAAGCCUGCCGGCGGCCCACCAAACUCUGUUUGAUAUUGAAUUCUGAACCUAUAACUAAAUAAGUUAAAACUUUCAACAACGGAUCUCUUGGUUCUGGCAUCGAUGAAGAACGCAGCGAAAUGCGAUAAGUAAUGUGAAUUGCAGAAUUCAGUGAAUCAUCGAAUCUUUGAACGCAUAUUGCGCCCAUUAGUAUUCUAGUGGGCAGGACCGUUCGAGCGUCAUUUCAACCCUUAAGCCUUCGUUGCUUAGUGUUGGGAGCCUACGGUAACGUAGCUCCUCAAAGUUAGUGGCGGAGUUGGUUCACACUCUAGACGUAGUAAUUUUUUAUCUCGCCUAUUAGUUGGACUAAUCCCCUGCCGUAAAACCCCUAAUUUAUCAAGGUUGACCUCGAAUCGGUUCAGACAAACUCGCUAAAUUGAAGCAUCUUAGUCAGCGAAGGAAAAGAAACCAACAGGGAUUGCCCUAGUAACGGCGAGUGAAGCGGCAACAGCUCAAAUUUGAA
rnacentral:rRNA from 1 species